UGUUUGUACUUUUUUGUGUGUGUAUCAAACAAUACUAUGGCAACUUUGGUACCUGAGGUUGAGAAUAGGGCAUGUAUCAAUGGGUGCAAUAAUGAUUUGACCAAUUUUGAUCACUCUCAAAUAGAUUGCUCCCUUCUCAUGUCAUUGCUUGAUGACUCGCAAGGCGUAGACGAUAUUGAUCAUGAUAACGAGAGAUUAUCGAGUGUGAUUAGAUCUCUCGAGGCUGAAAUUG
rnacentral:misc_RNA from 1 species